rnacentral:rRNA from 1 species
UACGGGGGGAGCAAGCGUUGUUCGGAUUUACUGGGCGUAAAGGGCGCGUAGGCGGCCACCGCAAGUCGACUGUGAAAUCUCCGGGCUUAACUCGGAAAGGUCAGCCGAUACUGCGGGGCUAGAGUGCAGAAGGGGCAACUGGGAAUUCUCGGUGUAGCGGUGAAAUGCGUAGAUAUCGAGAGGAACACCUGCGGCGAAGGCGGGUUGCUGGGCUGACACUGACGCUGAGGCGCGAAAGCGUGGGUAGCAAACGGG